rnacentral:rRNA from 1 species
CCUACGGGUGGCAGCAGUGAGGAAUAUUGGUCAAUGGACGAGAGUCUGAACCAGCCAAGUAGCGUGAAGGAUGACUGCCCUAUGGGUUGUAAACUUCUUUUAUAAGGGAAGAAAACAGGGUAUGCAUACCCUCUUGUAUGUACCAUAUGAAUAAGGAUCGGCUAACUCCGUGCCAGCAGCCGCGGUAAUACGGAGGAUCCGAGCGUUAUCCGGAUUUAUUGGGUUUCACGGGAGCGUAGGUGGCUUGUUAAGUCAGUUGGGAAAGUGUGCGGCUCAACCGUACAAUUGCAGUUGACACUGGCAGUCUUGAGUACAGUAGCGGUGGGCGGCAUUCGUGGUGUAGCGG